UACGUAGGCAGCAAGCGUUGUUCGGAGUUACUGGGCGUAAAGCGUGCGUAGGUGGUUCGUUAAGUCUGAUGUGAAAGCCCUGGGCUCAACCUGGGAAUGGCAUUGGAAACUGGCGACCUAGAGUGCGGUAGAGGGUAGUGGAAUUCCCGGUGUAGCAGUGAAAUGCGUAGAGAUCGGGAGGAACAUCUGUGGCGAAGGCGACUGCCUGGACCAGCACUGACACUGAGGCACGAAAGCGUGGGGAGCAAACAGG
rnacentral:rRNA from 1 species